AUUGAACGCUGGCGGUAUGCCUAACACAUGCAAGUCGAACGGCAGCAUGGUCUAGCUUGCUAGACUGAUGGCGAGUGGCGGACGGGUGAGUAACGCGUAGGAAUAUGCCUUGAAGAGUGGGACAACUUGGGGAAACUCAAGCUAAUACCGCAUGUACUCGAGAGAGUAAAGCUGGGGACCUUUAGGCCUGGCGCUUUAAGAUUAGCCUGCGUCCGAUUAGCUAGUUGGUAGGGUAAAGGCCUACCAAGGCGACGAUCGGUAGCUGGUCUGAGAGGAUACACAGCCACACUGGAACUGAGAGACGGUCCAGACUCCUACGGGAGGCAGCAGUGGGGAAUAUUGGGCAAUGGGGGGAACCCUGAUCCAGCAAUGCCGCGUGUGUGAAGAAGGCCUGAGGGUUGUAAAGCACUUUCAGUGGGGGGGAGGUUUGGAAGGUUAAGAGCUAUUCAAAUGGACGUUACCCACAGAAGAAGCACCGGCUAACUCCGUGCCAGCCGCCGCCGUAA
rnacentral:rRNA from 1 species